rnacentral:misc_RNA from 1 species
UUAAUGGGUUUCUUUUGAAUGUUGGAUUCUUUGAUUUUUUUUUUCUCCUAGAUUAUGGAAGUUGUGAACUGGGUUCUUUUUUUUUUUUUUUGGGAAGGGUAUGCUUCACUUUUUUAUAAUAAUUAAUUGAUUACCUUGGCAUUUGUUGUUUUGAUUUGUUCUUUUAUCGUCACGUUGUUCAUUUUUUAGUUGUUAUACUUUUUUUUUUCCCUUGAAGGAACUAAUUGCAUCAGGAAUUAUAGCCGGCUAGAUGUAUAAGCUGAGCUUUAGAUCUAUGGCCUAGAUUCUAAAAAUCUGUAUUUGUGUUUAUCAGAUUCUCAUAAAAUUAUUACCACCAUGUUUAAAAUUACUACUUAUUUGGGCUAGCUAGUUUGGAUCAUAUGACAUGUUCUUAAGCUGUAUGCCAGAACAUCAUUUAUGGAUGCAGAAACAUUGAAUUAGUUGACAGUUUCUUUUCCUAGUUCAAUUGGAACUCUUAACUUUUUAAUAUUUUUGGGGGAGAAAAACUAACAUUGAAAGUUUAAUUCCUUUGAUUUUCUUCAAAGUGACACCAAUUGAAAAUUUGUUUAUGUUACAGUUCUCUUGAAGUGAACGCAUAGGUUCUCCACUCUCAAUAUUUGUUUGUUUUUCCUUCCUGCUUUUAGCAAGCUAUGAAUUUAAAUAGUGUUUGGAUAGACUUGUCUUUCUUCUUUCAUUAUCUAAAAUUUCAUUUCUUGCCUUAUUUUUAUUUGGAUAAACCAUCCCUCAGCCAAUGGGCACUUAUAUUGGUUGUUGGUUGCUACAAAUUCUCAAACAAUAGUGCAACCUUAUUCUGGAGCUUUAAUGACUCGAAAGUCCUGUUCAGUUGGUGGGCUAGCAUCACUGGGCCAUGGAACUGCAUUAUGGACACAUUUAUCGGAUUUUGAAUUCUUCAUGGAGUUAUGUCGCAUUUUAUUUGGUUAAUUAUAUGUGUGGAUGUCCUGCACUCACUUGUUUCCCAUGUUGCCUUAGGUGCACUUGAUAGAUUAUUUGGAGAUGGACCCUGGGGUAGGUGAUGGUGUAAGGCCUUAGACGUUGAUAAGGUGUUUUUUUUUUUUUUUAAUCGAAAAGCAAUUUGACCUUGUAUCAUUUGUUUUUGACAUGGUUUUUCUAUAGUUUUAUAUUUGUGUGCUAGUUGAUCACCUAGUUGUCCCAUCUGUCAUUAUGUUCUUAUUUUCAUCAUUUGCAUAGGCCAUUGUGGCUAUCCUUUUCUUUUAUUCUAACAAAAGCUGAAGAUCUUCGCUUCAACAGAAGGAUUGAGACUCCUUGAUUCAGCACUGAAAUAUAUACAAAUCUGAUGCAUUUUGAUGUCUAGUCUUAUUCUCAUUCCUACUUCUAAUUAUCAUUUACCUUUAUUUUUUUGUUUGGUCUUGUAAUAUAUCCUUGUAGUAUAUUUGAUUUUCAUGUUGAUUGCUGAGUAGAGAACUUUGAAAGCUGGAAAGCUGAAUGAGAAAGUUCUGAAUCUGUUCAUGGCGACCGGCAAAGAUGAAAUCCUUUCAGUU